GGGGAGGUUCCUCCUCCUCCUCCUCCUCCUCCUCGUGCGGGUUGUGGGUGUUGGAAGGAAGGAGGCUUUCCCGGAAUCAAGACAACUGCAGAGCCCGGAGAGGGGCGGGAGAAGCCCGGGCUCCCCACUCGCUCGCCCGGGCCUGCUUUAUGUGCUCUGGGAAAGAGGGAGGGAAAUCGUGGUGGUGGCAGUGGUGGGGAGGCAUUGCCGACUGGCUUUCUCGGCUGCCUGCUUUCCUUCCUUCCGCCCGAUGAAGGGGCUGGCUCGGUCGGGCACGGAAAGAGCCCUGUUGAUUGUGUAGAUCUGGGCAAUUCCAUCCAAGAUUGAGAGGUGGCAGUCUUUGUAUCUUUUGUGGUGGUUCAAAAGAGACAAUUUAAAAGUACUGUACCAUCAUGAUGGUUUUCACUGGGCAUAUUUCAGACUGCUUUGAAUCUGUUGAGAGGAGUGAUGUAACUAUGGACUGAGCAGAGGGUUGAACUUGAUGGCCUUGUAGGCACCUUACAACUCCAUUACUCUACAGUGAAGAACUGCUCAGCUGGAAGGGGCCCUGUGGAUCAUCAAGUCCAGCCUCUGUCAAGGAGGCCCAGUGGGAAGUCGAACUCUCAACCUCAGGCUCUGUGGCCGGAGGUCUAAACCACUGAGCUAUUAAGCAGUUCAAUUAUGAUUCUUCGUGUCUUUUUUCAACUUACAACAAUUUCCUGGAUGUUUAACAAUAUUUAAUUUCAAACUAAUUUUCUUUGUAGAACCGUCAUAAUAUUUGAUACCUUUGUUUAUAUGCAGGCCUUCCCCAUUUAAAAAUACGUUUUGUGCUCUUUGUCUCAGGUACAUUGACAAGAUUCAGUGGAUGACAAUAUACAUUUUCUGCUUUAGUAUUUUGACAUUUCACAGUCAUUGAAAGAAGUUGCUGUUGUGAUCUGGAGAUGCAGGUUCUGGAGAUAAGUCUUUGUCAGAGCUCUCCUGUUUGAUCUAAUUAGUAUGCACAACUAAAAAAGAGAGAGGCUUAAAUAGACUUUGAGAUUGUUCCAAAUUCAUAAACUGAAGAUUUCCUUGUUGAUGGGGGAAAGAAUGCAUAAAUAUACACAUCUAGGCUGUUCAUAUCAGCAGCAAUAUGACGUAAAACAUAAUAAAUGAAUUCUGUUUCACUGUGUACUAGCCA
rnacentral:lncRNA from 1 species